UACGGGGGGGGCAAGCGUUGUUCGGAAUUACUGGGCGUAAAGGGCUCGUAGGCGGCCAACUAAGUCGGACGUGAAAUCCCCAGGCUCAACCUGGGAACUGCGUCCGAUACUGGAUGGCUUGAAUCCGGGAGAGGGAUGCAGAAUUCCAGGUGUAGCGGUGAAAUGCGUAGAUAUCAGGAGGAACACCGAUGGCGAAGGCAGCUCGCUGGGACGGUACUGACGCUGAGACGCGAAAGCGCGGGGAGCAAACAGG
rnacentral:rRNA from 1 species